rnacentral:tRNA from 1 species
UCAAUGGAGGACUAGUGGUUAGGCCACAGCGCUCUCACCGCUGUGGCCCGGGUUCGAUUCCCGGCCAGGGAG